AAGACCUCCAGCACAUCACUGGUGCCCUGCUUCCUGCCAUCAUAAAGACCUCCAGCACAUCACUGGUGCCCAGCUUCCUGCCAUCAUAAAGACCUCCAGCACAUCACUGGUGCCCAGCUUCCUGCCAUCAUAGAGACCUCCAGCACAUCACUGGUGCCCAGCUUCCUGCCAUCAUAAAGACCUCCAGCACAUCACUGGUCCCCAGCUUCCUGCCAUCAUAAAGACCUCCAGCACAAUCGGUGUCUGCAUAGGGUGUGUGGCAUCAUCAGGGACCCUUCACAUCCACGCCACAAACUGUUUGCCCUCCUACCAUCAGGCAGGUGGUACAGGUCUCUUGGUUCAGACACCAGCAGGCUCAGGAACAGUUUCCUUCCAUCUACUGUAACCCUGCUGAACUCUGUGACCCAUCACUAAACAUACCCCCCGCCUCUCAGAUCUUUGUUGCACUACUCCCUUGUACUACUCUGCCACUGCCAAGUUAUGUCUGAUAUUGGAAGUUUUUAGUUGUUACAGGUACGUGUUUAGCUCAGGAACCUCACUGCUGCUAUCCCAGCAUUUGAGUUGCACAUGAACCUAGCACAUUCAGUUUGCCUCUUUGCACAUUUAGAACGGUCAUCAUGAUUGCAUUUUUACAGUUGUUACAUAUGCAAGUCUACUUCGGGGGCCUCAUUGCACAUGCUACCCUACUCCUUCAGUUUGCCUUGAUUGCACAUCUAGAAUGCCCUUUAGAAUACCAUUUGUACCUGUACAUCCAUUAUCCCACUAACCUACACUAAACUUAAUACUUGUACAUUUUCUGCCCUCCUCUAUUUGCCAUAAUUGCACAUUUAGUGUUGCCGUUUGUACUGCAUUUGCCUUCAUUGCAUCUAUACAUUCUACACAUUUUCUGCCCUCUUCUAGUUGCACAACUGGUUAGAUGCUAACCGCAUUUUGUUCUACUGUUCAAUGACAAUCGUUGAAUCUAAUCUUUUCUUUGAGGUCAUGUUCCUAUAACCUUGGAGAGGCUCUCCACUAUGCUAGUCAAACCCACAAUCAAAUUAUGAGCUUGGAUAACUGCUCAAGGAACUUCAACACAAAGAACUAUGAGUACUUCUGAACUGAAAAAAAUACGAGACCACUGCACCUUUUUCUUUCCUUUCCAAAAAAGUUGAAAAGGAAAGUUUUGAGUGAGGAACAGAAGUGUUCAAUUUGCAGUGGCCUCUUACUUUCAAACCUUCUGUUCCUCACUCAAAACCUUUUUCAACUUUUUUGGAAAGGAAAGAAAAAGGUUCCGUGGUUUCUUAAUUUUUUAAGAAUACUGAAUACAAUAUGAGUUUAUACAUUAUACUGCUGAAAACAGACGAACAUAUUACUCCAUACAGUAUAUUAAUUGACAUACAAUGGGAAUCUAUUCAUUAUACUGAUGAAUGUACUGACUGACAUAAGACGUGUCUGUGUGUUGGAGACUGUUGGGUUUGAACUCUGUAAAGUCUUAUUUAAGUGAUUCAACUGGCAUGUCAGACGUCUGAGGCAGAUCUAGACACAGUGAGGGGACUCUCUUCCUGAAUGUCUUGCCCUCCUAAUCACUGCCACAGCUUGCCU
ensembl:lncRNA